rnacentral:lncRNA from 1 species
GUUAUUGUUGGAAGGCCAAUUUUCCCAGCUUGAUCAUGAUAUUAUAAAGUCAAUAUCACAAUUAACUCAUUCAUAUAAUCAAACUCACCACAAUCUAUUGAUAAUUUCAGCACACAUCAUAUACCCUGUUCACCAUUUUAAAAGUUUAUACAACAAACACGAAGUUUUCCCAUUACAGAAAAACUUUUUACAUAUACUGUAUAUUUUGACACAUUCCAACGUGCUUUUAGCAAAUUUGAAAGUGUCAACACUUAAUAUAUGGUAUAUCAAUUAAUAUAUUAAUAGCUAUAAUUGGUUCAUAGAUUUGUAAAUACAGAAAGUUAAAAAACCAUUAACAAAUGCAUGUUUGGAAAAAAAAGAGAGUACUGCGAGAAAUAUCACUGGCCAACAAAACCAAGCGUCUCGAUUUUAACAAACACCUAAAUUUAUGCCGAACAGCAACAUGUAUAAAUCGUUUUCACAAUCAAAAGAAUCAAACAUUUUUUUGAAAAACCUCGAGAAAAUACCUUCGCCAACUUUUCCUUUUUCGAUUUCAUCUUGUCCCCGUGUUUGGGAGAGCUCCUCCACCUCGACUCUACUCCGUGUGGCCAUUUUGAAGGGAAAUUAUUUCAUAUUUCAGGCAAUAAAUUCUGAUAGUUACUUCGUUUAU